UCCCUGGUGGCUCAGAAGUAAAGAAUCUGCCUGCAAAGCAGGACACCCGGGUUCCAUUCCUGGGUGGGGAA
rfam:Ovis aries breed Texel chromosome 18, whole genome shotgun sequence.